CAAUACGUCACCGGCGGACGGGUGCGUAACACGUGGAAAUAUACCUUUUGGUUCGGAACAACGCAGGGAAACUUGCGCUAAUACCGAAUGUGUCCUUACGGAGAAAAAUUUAUCGCCAAAGGAUUAGCCCGCGUUCGAUUAGCUAGUUGGUGAGGUAAUGGCUCACCAAGGCAACGAUCGAUAGCUGUUCUGAGAGGAAGAUCAGCCACACUGGGACUGAGACACGGCCCAG
rnacentral:rRNA from 1 species